rnacentral:rRNA from 1 species
UACGUAGGGUGCGAGCGUUACUCGGAAUUACUGGGCGUAAAGCGUGCGCAGGCGGUUUUGUAAGUCUGACGUGAAAUCCCCGGGCUUAACCUGGGAAUUGCGUUGGAGACUGGAAGGCUGGAGUCUGGCAGAGGGGGGUAGAAUUCCACGUGUAGCAGUGAAAUGCGUAGAGAUGUGGAGGAACACCGAUGGCGAAGGCAGCCCCCUGGGUCAAGACUGACGCUCAUGCACGAAAGCGUGGGGAGCAAACAGG